AUAGCUACGGCAAGGCAGCAGCGAGGAGGUGUGUGGCGUUGGGGAGGAAAAGGGAAGAGGAGAAGAAGAGAAGGAGAAGAAGAGGGAGAGAAGCGAGAGGUGGCAGCAGCUAGGGCUGCAGCACCUCUGUUUCCUGCAGCAGGAAACAGAGGAGAGGCGUGGGGCGUUCGAAGAGGAGAAGAAGAAGAAGAAGAGGUAGAGAAGAAGAAGAGGUUGUAAUACCUCUGUUUCCUGCAGAGGAAACAGAGGAGAGAGUGUGUGUGACGCCGGGGAGGAGGAGGGAAGAAGAAGAGGAGAAGAAGAGGAGAAGAAGAGAAGGGAAAGGUGGAGCUGCGGCUGCGGCGGUGGCAGCUGCAGCUGGAAGAGAAGGAGAAGAAGAGAANNN
rnacentral:lncRNA from 1 species